GGGCUCAUCAAGUCUGCUGUCAAAGGUCGGAGGCUCAACUCCGGUUCGGCAGUGGAAACUGGUGGGCUAGAGGGCGACAGGGGUAGAGGGAAUUCCCAGUGUAGCGGUGAAAUGCGUAGAGAUUGGGAAGAACACCGGUGGCGAAAGCGCUCUACUGGGUCGCACCUGACCCUCAGGGACGAAAGCUAAGGUAGCGAAAGGGAUUAGAUACCCCUGUAGUCUUAGCCGUAAACGAUGGAUACUAGGCGUGGUUGGUAUCGACCCCAGCCGUGCCGAAGCUAACGCGUUAAGUAUCCCGCCUGGGGAGUACGCACGCAAGUGUGAAACUCAAAGGAAUUGACGGGGGCCCGCACAAGCGGUGGAGGAUGUGGUUUAAUUCGAUGCAACGCGAAGAACCUUACCAGGGCUUGACAUCCCGCGAAUCCCAGUGAAAGCUGGGAGUGCCUUCGGGGAACGAAGUGACAGGUGCUGCAUGGCUGUCGUCAGCUCGUGUCGUGAGAUGUUGGGUUAAGUCCCGCAACGAGCGCAACCCUUGUCCUUAGUUGCCAGCGCGUCAUGGCGGGGACUCUAAGGAGACUGCCGGUGUGAAACCGGAGGAAGGUGGGGAUGACGUCAAGUCCUCAUGGCCCUUACGUCCAGGGCCACACACGUGCUACAAUGGCUGGUACAAAGCGCAGCUAGCUCGCGAGAGUCAGCGAAUCGCAGAAAGCCAGUCUCAGUUCGGAUCGUAGGCUGCAAUUCGCCUGCGUG
rnacentral:rRNA from 1 species